AAUCAUCAAAACCUUUUUUCAAUGAUCUUUUUGGUCGAGAAAAGGAUUUUGGACUUGGAGGAUCAAUGCUCACUCUCACUUUUCGAAAGUGAGCUCCUCUCAAAUGAAUUAGUGGGGGUUUGCAUCGCCAAUCCUUGACGUGAUAAGUUGUUUCUACGUUUCGGAUUUGGUGCUGUCCCUUGGACACCCGCUUCUAACCGUCUUAUGGACGACGAUGGUGUUCCGGUCACUGCUGCCUGUGUCGGUGGGAGGCUGGACCCACAAGAAAA
rnacentral:misc_RNA from 1 species